UCAUUUCUCUUGGUUGGCCAAAGGAAGAAAAGGGAAGAAAAGAAGAAGAACAAAACCCUAGCUAAGAAAUUCAAGGGAAAAUCACUAGAUUUCAAGGAAUCAAGACAUCAAAGGUGAAAUUUCUUAACUCUAGCCUGUGAUCUAUCUUUCCUAUGCAUUAUUUUGCAUUUUUCAUGGUUGAAUCACAAGAUAUUAUGAAGGAUAGUGUGCUGAUUAAACCUUAGGAGAGAGAAUUUGAUGAUGAAUUUAGUUAGAAAAUAUGUUAUUCUAGUAUUUUUAGUUGUUUGGUGAUGUGUAGUAUAAAAAGCAAGCAAAAACCAAAUUCAUGUUCUUACAUCACCUUCAUUGGCCGAAUAUUCCAUGUGGAAUAUUGAUGAUGAAUUUGAUUGAAUUUCAAGUGAUUUGACUAGGAAUGAAUGAUUUAUGGUGUGAGAAUCAAGCAUGAAAAAUUAUAUUGUUAGUGCACUCACCAUGGCCGAAUUUUUCAAGAGAAAAUGUGAGGAUGAUUUUGCCACAUUUCAAGUUAUUUAAAUUGUGUUUAAUGAUUUGGAGUAUUGGGAGAGAAAUGGAAUUGUUUGGAGUUGAAUUGGACGUAUUGCCCAAUUAAUCGGGUGAUAGAUCGAAUUAGGCCAAUACCAUUUUAUUUAGGUACAUAAUUGAAUUUAUAUUGAACACCGUAUUUAGAUCGUUACUCGAGUAUUUCUGUAAUACCCCGCACCCUCGUUGGACACAAAUAAGACCUUAUUGAUCAAACGAAUGAUCGUUUGAUGUGAAUUGGCAUGCAAAAAAAUGACAAGGGAUGAAAGGAG
rnacentral:lncRNA from 1 species